UGGAUGGGGGCUAGCGAGGUUAGUUUAUUAGGUUUGUUAAAUUAGGUUGUUCAUGCUUUUGAUGAUCUUGUGGCUUGUGUUAAUGUGGGUGACAUUGCAUUUUUUUCUUGAGACUUGCAUUUAAAUUAGGUUUUGGUUGAUGGUAUAGCUUUUUGGUUUUAUACCGUCGGGUAAAUUGAUAAUACCACCGAAGAAAUUCUAUUAUACCGCUGCGAAAAUCAAAGAAUACCACGACAGUAUUCUUAACUAGUCGGACGGUAUAUUUAAACACCACGACGAUAUUAUUAACUAAUUCGAUGAUAUUUAAGUGUCAAAACUUGUAUGUGUUGUUUCUAUAAAUUAUUAAGGUAUUUUGAAUAAUUGAUGCAGAUCAUUAUUCCAUGUGUUAUCAAAGAGCAUAUUGUUAUUGUUCGAAUCUAUCCCGGACUUUGGCAAGCAGAAUUGUUCGAUCCAAAGUAUCAUGGUUUGGAUGAACAAUCAAAGAUUGAUCGGAGCGAUCAAAUACAACCACUAAUAACUUUGUUCUCUCAAGUAUUGGAUUGUGCUGGAUACUGGGCUUCAAACGAGUUAGCUUUGACGAGGAAGAGCCAUCAAUUAGAAAUGUUCAUUCCGGGUCCACAUGAGCAGUUUACCCAGAAGGACUCGUAUUCAUC
rnacentral:lncRNA from 1 species